rnacentral:snRNA from 1 species
GUGCUUGCUUCAGCAGCACAUAUACUAAAAAUUAGAACAAUACAGAGAAGAUUAGCAUGGCCCCUGUGAAAGGAUGACAUGCAAAAUAAAUUUACAAAUAAUA